CCUACGGGAGGCAGCAGUGGGGAAUAUUGGGCAAUGGAGGAAACUCUGACCCAGCAAUGCCGCGUGAAUGAAGAAUGUCUUCUGAUUGUUAAGUUCUUUAGUCAGGGAAGAAUAAAAUGAUGGUACCUGAAGAAUACGCGUCGGCUAACUACGUGCCAGCAGCCGCGGUAAUACGUAGGGAGCAAGCGUUGUUCGGAAUCACUGGGCGUAAGGGGUGCGUAGGCGGUUAUACAAGUUAGAAGUGAAAUGCCCAGGGCUUAACGCGGGGGCUGCUUCUAGAACUGUAAGACUUGAGUGCAGUAGAGGUUGGUGGAAUUCGUGGUGUAGCGGUGGAAUGCGUAGAUAUUAGGAGGAACACCGAAGGCGAAGGCGGCUAGCUGGAGUGCAACUGACGCUGAAGCACGAAAGUGUGGGGAGCGAACAGGAUUAGAUACCCUUGUAGUC
rnacentral:rRNA from 1 species